rnacentral:lncRNA from 1 species
GGGAACCCAUCAUCAUACUGGAUACACAUUCUGUACAUGCUGGAUACCUAGGAAUGCGUAUGCAGCCAUCUCUCCAACACGCCAAAAACAAACUCAAAGUAAAAAGGUUCAGUCUCAAACUAAAAAUGUAAAAACGUCCGUGGCAUGCAUAUAUAAACUAUAUCUAUAUUAUCUCUGUUUGUGUACGGUACCGUCUGCUUCUUCAAUAAUAUGUGGCCACGCCACUGUGCAACGGUUAUAGAGUUCUUCAUGGUGCGUGUUGAUUGGCUUGUAUUUGUCGCCCAUCUGUACCGCCUUGCGAAAGUUCUCCAUCAAAUGUUCCCGCUUCCGACGGACCCUGGACUCACUAAAUUUGCCACGGUAGAUGAUGGGUAACGGGCCCUUCUUCAAUUCCCGUAUGAGUGCUGACGCC